ACCAGGCCUCUCCCUAGGUGAAGCUAGUGUCUGUCUGUGUGUGUUACCUCCGGGCACGCUGUACCAGGCCCCUCCCUAGGUGAAGCUAGUGUCUGUCUGUGUGUUUUACCUCCGGGCACGCUGUACCAGGCCCCUCCCUAGGUGAAGCUAGUGUCUGUCUGUGUGUUUUACCUCCGGGCACGCUGUACCAGGCCUCUCCCUAGGUGAAGCUAGUGUCUGUCUGUGUGUUUUACCUCCGGGUACGCUGUACCAGGCCUCUCCGUAGGUGAAGCUAGUGUCCGUAGGUGAAGCUAGUGUCUGUCUGUGUGUUUUACCUCCGGGCACGCUGUACCAGGCCUCUCCCUAGGUGAAGCUAGUGUCCGUAGGUGAAGCUAGUGUCUGUCUGUGUGUUUUACCUCCGGGCACGCUGUACCAGGCCU
rnacentral:lncRNA from 1 species